rnacentral:lncRNA from 1 species
UUUUUUUUUUUUGUGGUUUUGGUACUGGAAAUUGAACCCAGGGCCUCUUGCAUGCACUCUAUCACUAAGCUACAUUCUAACCCAUAAAGGCUCAUUUUCAUAGAUCUUCUAGAAGGUAUUUGCUUAUAGACAAAGAUAAAGACAUGUAAUAACUAAUUGUCCACAUUUUGAAUUACUUGUUAUAUGGUUUCUCAAUAAGUUAUCAUUUAUUCAUUCCCUUGUGUUUUUCACUCUGUCCCUGGUACUCCCCAUCCUGUUCCAUCUCACUCAGCAUGCAUAAAGAUGGGUCUCCCAUCUUCAGACAAACCCCAAGACCUGGACAAUGAUCUGUGUUAGGUAGAGUCUUCUAAGGCUAAAAGUCUUUUACUGUGUUCUUAAAAGUACAGUUGACCCUCCCCCAGAUUCUGGUGCAACCCCUAGAAAAAAAGUUAACAACCCCUGUGAUGUGUGAGGUUGAAUUUCCUGCCCUCAACCCAUCAAACCAAACAGGAUGAGGGCUCAGUUAGAACCAAGAGACCAUAUCAAAAAAAAAAAAAAAAAAAAAAUCUUAAAAGUGUCUCUUCUUUCCCAAAUUGGUAAGGCAAGAUUCAUGCUAGAUACCUUGUUUGCAUAAUAACAUCUAAACAAUAUAAAAUGUGCUACUUAGGAAAAAACAGUGCUCUCCCAAAUAUCCUAAUAAAUCACUGUUCAGAAAUGUGGAUAUGUGUCAGAUUUAAAGAAUUUCUAUGCUAAGCAGAGAAGUUAUGUGAAAACAGGAAAGCAAAAUGCUUUACUUGCAAUAAUAGUUUUGUGGUUGAGCUGGAGAAUGCCCUAUAUCAAUAGAGAAUAAUGAUUUUAGUUUUUCAGUUGCUGCCAAGAUCAUUUCCACUAUUGAUGAGGCCUGAGCUGUCUCUUAAGAAGAGUCAUUACAAUUGAUUUAUUUGUCUGCCAAAGCUUUGUCAGCAAACUCACACUGCCUUGAAAAUGUCACUAACUAUGCUUAAGACAGUAGAAGCACAGUCACAGUGAAAACCUAUUACUUAGCUAAUACUUUACUGUUAGAAUUCCAAGAAGUAAUAAUAUACUUAUGUUUUUGUUAAAAAUCUUUCCGUUUUUUACAUUUGCAUUUUUAAUUUUUACUUAAAUGUUUUAGCUGAUACAUAAAACAUUAAUAGUUUUGUACAUAUUAAUGGAGAGUGCCAUAUGAUGUUUCAAUGCAUAUAUAGUGUAGUGUAAAUGAGGUUAAACAUAUCAUGCCCUUUUUUGGGCGGGGGGUACUGGGGAUUUAACCCAGGGGCACUUCGCCACUGAGCUAUUUAUCCCUAGCCCUUUUUACUUUUUUAUUUUGAGACAAGGCCUUUUUUAAGUUGCUGAGACUGACCUGAAACUUGCAUUCCUCCUGCCUCAGCUUCCUUAGUUGCUGGCAUUACAUGUGUGCACCACCAUGCCUGGCAAGCACUUACUAUUUCUUUCUUUAAACUUUCAUUUUAUUUAUUUAUUUAUUUAUUAUGUGGCAUUGAGACUUGAAUCCAGUGCUUUGCACAUGCCAGGCAAGCGCUCUACCACUGAGCUACAACCACAGCCCCUUCUUUAUGGUGAAAAUUUUAAAAGUCCUUUUUCUAGAUUUUUGAAAUGUACAGUACAUUAUUAUUAUUUUAUCUAUAUUGUUAUUAUAUUCUAUUAUGGUGUCAUUGUUUUAUCUAUA